UACGUAGGGGGCAAGCGUUGUCCGGAAUUAUUGGGCGUAAAGCGCGCGCAGGCGGCCUUGUAAGUCUGUCGUUUAAACUCGGAGCUCAACUUCGAGUCGCGAUGGAAACUGCAAAGCUUGAGUGCAGAAGAGGAAAGUGGAAUUCCACGUGUAGAGGUGAAAUUCGUAGAUAUUGGGAAGAACACCAGUGGCGAAGGCGGCUAACUGGUCCAGAUCUGACGCUGAGGUGCGAAAGCGUGGGGAGCAAACAGG
rnacentral:rRNA from 1 species